CAAGACUCCUGAUCAGUUGGCGCAGCUGCAACAACAUCGCUGAGGUGUGUCUUUAACCCUCACCUGUAAACUACCCAGGAAGUUGCCCCCUAGGGUGACGUCAUAGUGGAAGCGCGAAUAGGACAGAAAGCAAGUGUCCCCCAAAUGAGGACGAGGUUCACUUCUUCCACAUAUCAUCUCAGGGAGUUCCUCACAACGGUCACCUCUGGAUUGAUCAUUAGGGGCGUCGUUUGGCUCCAUCACUGUCCUGAUCCACGGGACUCGGGGAACCUGCAGGAACCUUUUGAUAACUCAGACUGGCAUCUGGGAUGUGAUGAACCAACUGCAGCAGAAUUACACACAACAAUGUAACCGACG